UUAAGAGGAGGGGUGAGAAAAAGUCGUAUAAAAGGCGAGAGAAAAGUCGAUAGGGAUCAGUCGAGCGAGUAUCUCCGACACGGUAACAGCUGCAUUCCACUAUCUGCCACAAGCUGCAUUCAUCAGUUCUCAAUCAUUGUCGUAAAAAAGGAGAAAAAAAGAUGAUAGAAAUCAGUCGAGUGAGAAUCUCCGACACGGUAAUUGCUGUCUGUAGUCACUAUUCGUUACCAACUGCAUUCUUCGUGGUAUUAUCAGUUCGUAAUCAUGGUCACAAUCGGAAAAAUUUGAUGUUCACGCUUGGAGGUCACAAGAAACAUUUCGUAAAACUGGCAUGCGGUGGUGUAGAGGUUAGGUGAGAACCGGACGUUUUGCAUCAUUAUCAAAAGGUACAAUAGCCACAAGGCUUGAGAGGUGGAUCAGGGUGAGAAAAGUCGUAUAAAAGGAGAGAGCAAAGGUUAUAGAAAUCAGUCGAGUGAGUAUCUCCGACACGGCAACAGCAACUGCAGUGCACAAUAUGUCAGCAACUGCCUUCUUGGUCGCUUUACUGUUCUCAAUCAUCUUAAACUAUGUCGUCGUGCUGAUGUUGGGGAAUGUAUCGGCUCGUUCAACCACUGGUGUACUGAUGUCUUCUGGGUAUGGCGGGUAUGAAACCGCGACGCCGCACGUUACUACACCGAGGCCCCUAAGUACUACACUACCAAGUCUCCAGAUUAUUACACCACUACUUCGCUGCCCCGAACUACUACACCGAAUCCCCGAAAUAUUAUUCUUCCCCAAGCUACGCCAUCAAAGGGUCGAGUACUACAUCGAGGACCCUGAUUACUACACCACUACAUAUCAUGGUCGUAUAACAGGAGAGAAGGCGAUAGAUACAGUCAAAUGGUUAUCACCGACAUGGCAACAACUGUAGUGCAGUAGUGGUCACCAACUGCAUUCUUCAUCGUACAACCAGUUUUGCAAUCAUGGUAACUAUUUUGUCGUGCUGCUGUUGGGUGUCGUUUCGUUGAUGGCUGAGUCGACCACUGGUGUACUA